UACGGAGGGGGCUAGCGUUAAUCGGAAUUACUGGGCGUAAAGCGCGCGUAGGUGGUUCAGUAAGUUGGAAGUGAAAUCCCCGGGCUCAACCUGGGAACUGCUUUCAAAACUGCUGAGCUAGAGUACGGUAGAGGGUGGUGGAAUUUCCUGUGUAGCGGUGAAAUGCGUAGAUAUAGGAAGGAACACCAGUGGCGAAGGCGACCACCUGGACUGAUACUGACACUGAGGUGCGAAAGCGUGGGGAGCAAACAGG
rnacentral:rRNA from 1 species